GUAGACUAGUGGUUAGAGUGGAUCGGCGGCAGGGUAGACUAGUGGUUUGAGUGGAUCGGCGGCAGGGUAGACUAGUGGUUAGAGUGGAGGGGCGGCAGGGUAGACUAGUGGUUAGAGUGGAUCGGCGGCAGGGUAGACUAGUGGUUAGAGUGGAGUGGCGGCAGGGUAGACUAGUGGUUAGAGUGGAGUGGCGGCAGGGUAGACUAGUGGUUAGAGUGGAGUGGCGGCAGGGUAGACUAGUGGUUAGAGUGGAGUGGCGGCAGGGUAGACUAGUGGUUAGAGUGGAGGGGCGGCAGGGUAGCCUAGUGGUUGGAGUGGAGGGGCGGCAGGGUAGACUAGUGGUUAGAGUGGAGUGGCGGCAGGGUAGACUAGUGGUUAGAGUGGAGGGGCGGCAGGGUAGCCUAGUGGUUAGAGUGGAGGGGUGGCAGGGUAGCCUAGUGGUUAGAGUGGAGGGGCGAAAGGGUAGUCUAGUGGUUAGAAUG
ensembl:lncRNA